rnacentral:lncRNA from 1 species
AAAAAAAAUUGGUUAGAAAAAACAACAUGACUUUGGUGGCAGAAAUUAUUCAUCAGGUACUUUUUGUGCUAAGCUGACAAACUGCUGACACAAAAUACAGGAAGUAAGAACAUGUUUGACCAUGUGGAGCUUACUCUUUAAUAGAAAACUGGGACCUGCAUAAAUCCAAGAAAUGGACCCGACAUUCAUGGAGCACCAACCAUCUGCCAGGGAGAGCUGAUGUAUCCUGGGCUUGAGAACAGUAGAAGAAAGUAGUCAGGAAUGGAGCUAGUGGUGGAGGGAAGUGAGGGUAGAGAAAGGGGAGACUGCAGCUCAGAAGAAAUCAAAGUACAGUUGACCCUUGAACAACAUGGGUUUGAGCUGUGUGGGUCCACUUACAUGUGGAUUUUCUUCCGCCUCUGCCAUCCCUGAGAUAGCAAGACCAACCCCUCCUCCCACUUAGCCUGCUUUAACGUGAAGAUAAUGAGGAUGAAGACCUUUGAUGAUCCACUUUCACUUACAUCUUCACCAGGAGUAUAGAUGCCAUCUGAAGAAACCACUUUCUUUGCUCAUCCAUAAGAAGCAACUCCUCAUUGGCUCAAUUUUCAUCAUGAGAUUGUGGCAACUGAGUGACAUAUUCAGGCUCCACUUCUAUUUUUCUUGCUAUUUCCACCCUUCAAAGUCAUCCAUGAGGAUCGGAAUCAAAUUCUUCCA